AUGAAAUGCCUUUGUGUCCACAUAGACUCAAAAAGUGCUGCAGAUUCAGACUGCCAUCUGUCCUCAUUAAAAUCACAGUGACAACAGCACUGGUCUGCAUUGACAAUUCUCUUGAAAAGCCCAUGAACCUUGAGCAGCGUUGCAGAAAUCCUGCAUUUCUGCCAUAACAAGCCUGGCAGCCUGGAGAGAGCUGAUGUGACUGGCUCCAACAUGUAUUCUCCACAUCCACAGAGCUUUGCUUUGCUGUACUGCCAUGGUGGAUGCUGACAUGAGCACCCACGAGGGCACAGCUUGCCCUGCAUGUCUUCAUUGACCCAAUCCAGCAACUUUUGUGACUGAAGGUAAGAGCAAGCCAAGAAUUACAGAGUUCCCUGGUUCACUGCUGUUGUCCCUG